CUAGCCGUAAACGAUGGGUACUAGGUGUAGGUGGUUUCGAUACCAUCUGUGCCGGAGUUAACGCAAUAAGUACCCCGCCUGGGGAGUACGUGCGCAAGCAUGAAACUCAAAGGAAUUGACGGGGGCCCGCACAAGCGGUGGAGCAUGUGGUUUAAUUCGAAGCAACGCGAAGAACCUUACCAGGGCUUGACAUCCCUUGAUCGCUGUAGAGAUACAGCUUCUCUUCGGAGCAAGGAGACAGGUGG
rnacentral:rRNA from 1 species